rnacentral:rRNA from 1 species
UACGUAGGCAGCGAGCGUCGUUCGGAGUUACUGGGCGUAAAGAGUGCGUAGGCGGUUUUCUAAGUUUGGUGUGAAAUCUCCCGGCUUAACUGGGAGGGUGCGCCGAAGACUGGAAGGCUUGAGUAUGGGAGAGGUAAGCGGAAUUCCUGGUGUAGCGGUGAAAUGCGUAGAUAUCAGGAGGAACACCUGCGGUGUAGACGGCUUACUGGACCGACACUGACGCUGAGACACGAAAGCGUGGGUAGCAAACAGG